rnacentral:rRNA from 1 species
CAGCGCCACAAGUGGGGACCAUUAUUAUUGGGCCUAAAGCGUCCGUAGCCGGUUUAGUAAAUCUUAUGUGAAGUCGUAGGGCUUAACCCUACGGCGUGCAAAAGACACUACUAGACUUGAGACCGGGAGGAGUCAGAGGUAAUCCUUGGGUAGCGGUAAAAUGCAAUAAUCCAAGGAGGACCACCUGUGGCGAAGGCGUCUGACUAGAACGGGUCUGACGGUGAGGGACGAAAGCCAGGGGAGCAAACCGGAUUAGAUACCCGAGUAGUCC